CAAGAAUCUCUAGUACGACUCACUCGAACGUUGUUGUGUUUGUUCUUUCAUUUCAGAACUCCCAUCAAUUCUGUAGCGAAAUUACAAGAAUCGCCCUUUCAAAAUUCCACGAUUGAACCUAAAGACUGAUUGAACUCAAUUUGGGGUAAAAUUCAGUUGACAAUAUCAAUUCUGUUUUGCAUAUAUCUUUUAUGGUUGUUUGGUUAUCUAAUUUGCUCUCGCGCGUUGUUGUGGACGCUUAAUUCGACCUGCAUCCAUCUCGAUAUCAAUCGUCGCAUUGUUGUCAAAGUUAGUGCCAGAUGCUUACUUAGUUGUAAGGCAUCCCCUUCUUUUGUUAUGCAAUGUCUAAAUCUGGUAUUUGCCAAUGCACCUUAUAUUUUACAAUUGGAGCUAAAGUUAAAGGCGCAGAUAACCUUUGGGACUGUGAGGUGAAAUUUAAGGAUUCAACUGAGUCUAAGAAGGCUAGUGCACUAGUGUUCUCCACGUUUGAAGAAGCUCAAAAGCAAUAUGAUAUGUUUUGUGCCAUCAACUCAAAAUGGGUCCCCAAAACGUAUGGUGUUAAAAAAGAUCCAAAAACUGGGCAAGGGCUGGUUCUCGUGGAAAGGAUAUUUCCAUUUGAUACUUGGUUGUAUAAUACGGACAAAAAUAAUAUGUGGAAUAUUAUUGAUGGUGUAUGUAUUGGAGUUGGUACUGAGUUCAAGAAAAAAUUUAAUCAAAUAAUUUUGGGGGUGGAAGCAAUCCACAAAUAUGGAUCUCGCCAUGGAAAUUUGUCGAAGGGAGUUUAUCUUGGAGUAGAUCAGAAUGUACGCUUGGGCAACUUUUUCCACCCGCAUGCUAAUAGUGAGAGUCUUAAAAAAGACCUUCUAGAAUUUAAAGAGUUAGUUACUAUUGCUACUUCGAAACAUCCACCGCCCAGAGUAAGCUCAGAAGAUGUACCUAAAGAAGUACCUGAAGUUCAGCAAUUUUAUAACUUGUUCGAUCACUUUACUUCGAAAGGAAAUUUUCGAGAGGGUUACGCAUCUUGGUUAUAUCGAGCACCCCUACUUUGGGGCUCUUGUAAGAAGGCUGCCUUUUUUAACUGGCUUAAUCGGGCUUUUGAGAUUAACCCUAAUUUGGUCAAGGAACACUUUAACCAAUACAUAUCACACUACUUUCCUGAGGGUUGGGAGUACAGAAUUUCAGCAAAUACUCCCUUACUACAAACUUGGGAACAUCAGGUCCCUUCCCUUAGUGAUCCCAGUAUAAAAGAGCCAAAUUGGUGGUAUAUGUACUCAUAUGGAAUAGUCGUAUUGAUUAGGAAUUUUUACCAUCACUGCCCUCCUGAUGUCAAGCCGAUCAAUCACGUUGAGUAUGAUUUUCCUGAAGUUUUGGGUGUCGUUUACUAUGAAUUUGCAACCGGACCUUAUAAGAAUCAGGUAUUGGUGCCUGGGGACAAUGCCGUACCAGCGAAGAAGGUCAUCGAAUAUAUCUUUGAAGAACCUUGGUUUUAUGGCGUGGAGUUUAAUUAGUUCCGGAAGCAAGAUUACUGGGAAGAAGCUUAUAUCACGGUAUGCAACAUGCACUAGUUUAUGAAAUCUCUAGAGUGCUUGCCCUGUGGGAUAAUCCUCAAUAUUAUAAAUGUUAUCAAUUGAAACAACAAGUAAGCUCAAGGAAAUGGAAGUAUAUUAGGGGUUCAUACAGUGGGCGGCAGUGCACUGGUUUCUGCAUCUCUCCUUGGCUUAUGCGGUACUUAAAUUGCAAAAGUUAAUUGCUGAGAGUUCGUGGGACUUUCAGCAUUUUCCUUCUGCAAUUUACUCAAACAUGAGCCUAUUUUUUAUCAACGAUUAUAGUUGACUUCAUAUUAUGGUUUUCAUAUAGUUGUUGUAGAUCUGUUUAGUGUUCCAUGUACACCUCAAAAUUUGUGUUGACUUUCGGUCAAUGGUUCUAGUGGACUUCAUAAUAUGGUUUUCAUAUAGUGGUUGUAGAUCUGUUUAGUGGCCCACUCAAAAUUUAUGGUCGAGUUUUACCCGUACAUUGUACUCCAGAGCCUUUCCACUUUCCAACUUCAGAAUUCUUUGUUGUUUUACUGCCCUGAGUAUUAAAUGUGAUGGUUCACCUGAA